rnacentral:misc_RNA from 1 species
AUCGUCGGCAACUACUGCCACGAUGUUUUAAUCCAAAAUGACACCGUCGUUGGCGAAUCUCUUGGCGGCGCCUCCUCCUUCAUAGCCAGCGUCCUUGAUGGGAUGUCAAUUCCUUGUAGUUUAGUUGCCAAAGUUGGGCACGAUUUUGGAUACCAUGUUAAUCAUAUCCCAAUUUUAGUGCCUGCUUCCAAGACGACCGUGUUUCACGCCUAUUUUGAUUCGGGUGUACACGAAAAUGGAAACCAAGAUCGGGUCUUAAAACGGGUAUGCUUAUGUGAUCCAAUUAGUCCAACGGAUCUUCCUGACGCGAGGUUCGAUUUUGGGAUGGCGGUUGGGGUUGGCGGGGAGAUAUUGCCCCAGACGCUUGAGAGAAUGAUUGAGAUUUGUGAUGUGGUUCUCGUGGAUAUUCAAGCUUUAAUAAGGGAUUUUGAUGCCGUUGAUGGGACAGUUAAGCUCGUUGAUUUACGCGAAACGGGGUUUCGUUCCUUGUUGCCUCGAAUUGGGGUUUUAAAGGUGUCAUCAGAGGAGGCUGUGUUCAUGGAUGUGGAGGAGGUGAGGAAGUGGUGUUGUGUGGUGGUGACGAAAGGGGAAGAUGGAUGUAAGGUGUGUUGGAAAGAUGGGGAGAUGGAGAUUUCACCCUUUUUGGCUAAUCAAGAGGAUCCCACGGGUGCAGGGGAUAGCUUCUUAGGUGGGUUUGUGACGGGAUUGAUGCAGGGAUUGGCUGUACCUGAUGCUGCCUUGCUGGGUAACUUCUUCGGUUCGCUUACUGUUGAACAAAUUGGAUUGCCAAAGUUUGAUUCGAGGCUGCUGCAGAGAGUGAAGGAUGAGGUUCAGAGGAGAAAAACGCAGUGCUUGCAUUAUGAAGGGAACUAUGAUGAGCUAAUGUUUUUGAAGCCAGAAGGGCAUGAACAGUUCCAUUCGUCCCUUGGUGCAGCAAAAUUAUUAACCCAACAUUCCAUUCAAGAAUCCAAAGAUUGUUCUGGGCAGCCUAAAUUAGCAGUUAAUCCUGUGUAUGAUGAAGCAAUGCAAACAGCUGACGGAAAGCCAUGAUACAGUUGGAGCGAAAAACUGCACUUAUUGGCCUUGGUUCUUUUUCUUGGCAUCGAAUAAAGAAUCUAGCGACAGCGUAGAGAUUAAUGCUGUGAUUCUAUUCAUAAUCAUUUGGUCCAGUGAUCACGAAUGGAAGUUAAUUUAAAGUUGUUAAUGCAUUUAAAAUAAGAUCAUGCGCAUGAAAUUU